UCCCCUUCCUCCUUAUCGUUCUAGUACCUCUACGCGCCGCUGCUUGCCGCUGCCGUCGCCCGCUCGCAUCUGCUUGACGCUGCAGCUUUGCUGCCUCUGCUCGAUCACAUCUGCUUCCUCCUCCACCGCUUGCUGCCCUGCAGCGCGUCCGCUCCUUCCCCACCGAAGCCUCCCCAAGAGCGCUCAGGUCUGGUCUGCCGACUUCUCUUCGCCAAUCCCAACGUCGCCGGCACCUCCAGCUUUGCUUUGUCCCAGCCGAGGCACAACCCUAAGCCCGCAUCAUCGUUGGCGGCGGUGCAGGAAGGCGGUGAGAAGAAGAGGAAGGAGAGAACGACGCGGCCCAAGCUCACGCCGGACCUGUCCUGUCUGACGCCGGCCUGGGAUCCGUCCUCCGCUACUUCCCCAACGCCUUCAAACCCAUGCCGGGCCUGGUCAUGAGGUGCGCUGCAGUUUGGGCCCCUGAUUUGGUGCUACUGCUUACUAUGGCCGCCGCGUGAUUCGUGCACGCGCUGCUGCUCUACCUCAGCAAAGACCUCACCGGGGCGUCACCGGUGGAUACUGCGAGGGAGGUUGGGCCUCUCGGGAGAAGAAGAGAUCAGGGAAACACACAAAGAUGGGGUGCACAGUAUGUUUUAGGGUUGAUUGAAUGCAUGACCAUUCGACCUGGUCACCUAGAUUGGUUGCAGCAGAAGUAGGAUAUAUUCAUUUCGCCCUCUGCCCCCAUCUGUGGAUGUCAAGUUCAAUAUCUCUGAUUCCUAGAUUUAUUGCCCAUCAUUCCAGCAAUCAAUUACCAGCUUUCCCAAUGUGGAUGAAGCCAACAGCUACCAGCUAUGUAUCUCUCGCCUGGUGAUUUAAGCAUUGCUCUCUUUAUUAUUAAGUAUAGAUAUUUAAGUUGAAAUAUUGUUGAAAUAAAUGUUACGGCAGAUGCUGCUACGAAGAAUUCAUCGUUUCCCUGCCAAUUUUCUUAUCUUCCAGCACAUGUGUUGCAGAGAAGUGGUAGGGUGAGAAAUUGUUUGUAUCAGGGGAGGGUGUACAAUAAGCAAGAGUGGUGAGAAGAGAACAAUUUUUUUACCGGUUUGCUUGUUGUGGUUUUGGGGACCAAGUCUUUUCUUGCUUUUACUAUUAUUAUUUAUAAUAAAUCUCAUUUCAAUUAAAUGUCAAAAUAUGUA